rnacentral:lncRNA from 13 species
UGACCUCACUGAGGGACAUUCCCUAGGAUCCUGGCACCUCUGACCUUCUUGAAUAUGUGACUACAGAGGCAGAUGCAAGAAAGCUCAUACUUCUUUGGCUGCCCAUAACACAAAACUAUUACAAAUGUAAUAAGACUUCAAUGAAGACUGGGGCAAGAGGGAAUUACCAUAUAGGGAAAUCAAAUAUAAGAUGGAAUUACUAGUACAGUUCUCAGAAAACAAAGAAUAUAUUAUUUAAAUUGCAUCAUCCAUACAUAAACCUCAUAGAACCUAGUUCUUGCUCUUCUUUGUUCCAAAGUUCAUCUUUCUCUCCUUCUUUCUCAUCAGAGAGUGGUUUUUCUUCAACUUCUCCUUUUACAAAUAGCUUAACUUAUUUAAGAAAAGCUCAUUCCUAUCUCACAGAUUUUCAUCUUACUCAUCCAGGAAAAUACAAGGAAGGCAAUAACCCAAGGUGGUGCAUUUUCCAAGGUCUGAGGUAGGAUGUUAAGAAUAGCAUACUAGAGUUUCAGCAAAACCAAACUUGGGCUGCCUAGUAGAAGACAGUAGAGGUGGGUUCUGCACGGCAGGUCCCCUGUAGUAUUAGUAUUCUGAUGUAUGUCAUGUAAAUAUGAUUUUAGUUCUUCUUACCGUCUUGCAGUAUCCUGAAAGUAAGUUUUACAGGGGAAAUAUAUGUGUCUACACACACACACAUACAUGUACACACACAUACAUGUACACAUACAUCCCUACAUACACACACAUAUAUAUACACACACACAUACAUGUACACAUACAUCCCUACAUACACAUACAUAUAUAUACACACAUACAUGUACACAUACAUCCCUACAUACACAUACAUAUAUACACACACAUACAUGUACACAUACAUCCCUACAUACACACAUAUGUAUAUACACACAUACAUGUACACAUACAUCCCUACAUACACAUACAUAUUUAUACACACACAUACGUGUACACAUACAUCCCUACAUACACAUACAUAUAUAUACACACACAUACAUGUACACAUACAUCCCUACAUACACAUACAUAUAUAUACACACACAUACAUGUACACAUACAUCCCUACAUACACAUACAUAUAUAUACACACAUACAUGUACACAUACAUCCCUACAUACACACACAUAUGUAUACACACAUACAUGUACACAUACAUCCCUACAUACACACACAUAUGUAUAUACACACAUACAUGUACACAUACAUCCCUACAUACACACACAUAUGUAUAUACACACAUACAUGUACACAUACAUCCCUACAUACACACACAUAUAUAUACACACACCUACAUGUACACAUACAUCCCUACAUACACACACAUAUGUAUACACACACACCUACAUGUACACAUACAUCCCUACAUACACACACAUAUGUAUACACACACAUACAUGUACACAUACAUCCCUACACACACACACACAUAUACACACACAUACAUGUACACAUACAUCCCUACACACACACAUAUAUAUACACACACAUACAUGUACACAUACAUCCCUACACACACACAUAUAUACACACACAUACAUGUACACAUACAUCCCUACACACACAUAUAUACACACACAUACAUGUACACAUACAUCCCUACACACACACACAUAUAUACACACACAUACAUGUACACAUACAUCCCUACACACACACAUAUAUACACACACAUACAUAUACACAUACAUCCCUACACACACAUAUAUACACACACAUACAUGUACACAUACAUCCCUACACACACACACAUAUAUACACACACAUACAUGUACACAUACAUCCCUACACACACACAUAUAUACACACACAUACAUGUACACAUACAUCC